rnacentral:lncRNA from 1 species
GAAAUUAUUUAUUUUUCUCUCCCCUUUUACCGAGAGAACGAAUAGGUGAUUUCCGGCGAAGAAAAAAACGGCAAGGCGUAACGACGUUAAAAGCAUGUCUCGGCGGCGGAGUCUGCGGAAAAAAAAGAUAGCUGAUGGUAAGUUAACUUCAGUUUUGCUUUGAUGGCUAGAUUGGUUAAUUUUGAUGUUGUUUUCUUUGAGCCUGAUUCUCUUUGUUUCAUAGAAACAGUGGCGGUAAAGGGUGUAAAGGGAAGUCUCCCAGAAAGGCUUUUUGCAAUGGAUCGGUACCCAUGCGAGAGGAUCAAUAUGUACUCAACGAUUGAUAAUCUACUGUGCGUUAGAGACGCACUAAACGGCACGGAGGAGAUGGCCCUAUUG